GGCGAGGGGGGAGCUUCCUGCCGGCCCUGCCGCGGGCGUGCCGGCGGCGCGCUCUGGCCGCGGGCCCGGGGCGUGAAAAAUAUUCUCUGGCCUGAAUCCUGAAUUGGGUUUGUUGGUCAAAAGAUCAAGGCUUUCUUCUAUCUGCCACCUAAUGACACAAAUGUGACACAGCAGCCACAUCUGC
rnacentral:lncRNA from 1 species